AAGUCGUAACAAGGUUUCCGUAGGUGAACCUGCGGAAGGAUCAUUAACACGUAUCCAAACGUUAAAACCCCCCCCGUGAACUUUCAAUCCUGCUCUUGUAACCCGCGUAGUUCCGCAAUCUCUGGUAAAUCAUAGCCCGGAAAGUUGUUUUGAUUCAGAGACCUCUGGCUACGUGAGAACAAUGGAACAGUUACAAUCGAGCGGUAGUUUCAUAGGCAUUGUUUCCCCAAGCAGUCAGUGUCGGAAAGUGUCAUUGAUUGUGCAAGGAUAGCGCUUCACGAUUCCUGUAGACCGUACACUCGGGCCCCCUUACAACCCCACAGUUUAAUGUAAAGCUCAAUGUAAUACAUUGGGUAAAAAAACCGAACAACUGUUAACAAUGGAUAUCUUGGUUCUC
rnacentral:misc_RNA from 1 species